rnacentral:tRNA from 1 species
GUCCUUGUAGUGCAGUAGUCAUCACGUCUGCUUUACACGCAGAAAGUGCCAAGUUAAAUCCCAGGCAAGGACA